CAAGGGAUUAACCUGAGAAUAAGGUUAUUGCUGCCUUUUCCUUUCGAUUUAUCUUUAAUCUUCAAAUCCAGGAUUAAAGAAUUAGCUCGCAUGAGGUAUUUAUUGGGACGAACCGAUGCGGAAUUUUGAAAUACCUUCUGCAGUAGUAGCUUCAAAAUGUUGGUUAACAUUUUGGCUCCCUUGAUUCUAGUGAGUUGCGUUUUAGCCACGGACUUCGAAGAUUUCAUGGCAAAGUUGAAAAACAUUACAACACAAGAACAAUUGCACUUUGUUCAGUACCACGUGGCAAAGGGGUAUUUCUUAUCCAACAAUUUCUCUACUGAUGGAUUUGACAAUGGUUUUUCCGAUGACUAUAGUAGAGGCAUGUUUGAAGCUUUCCUCGAAAUCACAAAAA